rnacentral:rRNA from 1 species
CCUACGGGGGGCUGCAGUGGGGAAUAUUGCGCAAUGGGGGAAACCCUGACGCAGCGACGCCGCGUGGGUGAUGAAGGCCUUCGGGUCGUAAAGCCCUGUCGGGAGGGAAGAAACAGCUCGGGCCUAAUAUGUCCGAGCAUUGACGGUACCUCCUAAGGAAGCACCGGCUAACUCCGUGCCAGCAGCCGCGGUAAUACGGAGGGUGCUAGCGUUGUUCGGAAUCACUGGGCGUAAAGGGCGUGUAGGCGGUCUGUUAAGUCUGAUGUGAAAUCCCC